rnacentral:rRNA from 1 species
UACGUAGGGAGCAAGCGUUGCCCGGAAUCAUUGGGCGUAAAGCGCACGUAGGCGGUCUGUUAUGUCGGAUGUGAAAGCCCUUGGCUCAACUGAGGAAGUGCAUCCGAAACUGGCAGGCUAGAGUACUAAAGAGGGUCGCGGAAUUCCCGGUGUAGAGGUGAAAUUCGUAGAUAUCGGGAGGAACACCGGUGGCGAAGGCGGCGACCUGGGUAGAUACUGACGCUGAGGUGCGAAAGCGUGGGGAGCAAACAGG